rnacentral:rRNA from 1 species
CCUACGGGAGGCAGCAGUGAGGAAUAUUGGUCAAUGGGCGGGAGCCUGAACCAGCCAAGUCGCGUGAAGGAAGAAGGUCCUUAGGAUUGUAAACUUCUUUUGUCGGGGAGCAAAGGCGGAGACGCGUCUCCGGAUGAGUGUACCCGAAGAAAAAGCAUCGGCUAACCCCGUGCCAGCAGCCGCGGUAAUACGGAGGAUGCGAGCGUUCCGGAUUUAUUGGGUUUAAAGGGUGCGCAGGCGGGAGAUCAAGUCAGCGGUAAAAUGGCGGGGCGCAACCCCGGUCGGCCGUUGAAACUGGGUUUCUAGAGUUGGCGAGAGGUAUGCGGAAUUCGUGGUGUAGCGGUGAAAUGCAUAGAUAUCACGAAGAACUCCGAUCGCGAAGGCAGCAUACCGGCUCCAUACUGACGCUGAGGCACGAAAGCGUGGGGAUCGAACAGGAUUAGAUACCCUUGUAGUC